rnacentral:rRNA from 1 species
CCUACGGGAGGCUGCAGUGAGGAAUAUUGGUCAAUGGACGAGAGUCUGAACCAGCCAAGUAGCGUGAAGGAUGACUGCCCUAUGGGUUGUAAACUUCUUUUAUAUGGGAAUAAAAUGUUCCACGUGUGGGAUUUUGUAUGUACCAUAUGAAUAAGGAUCGGCUAACUCCGUGCCAGCAGCCGCGGUAAUACGGAGGAUCCGAGCGUUAUCCGGAUUUAUUGGGUUUAAAGGGAGCGUAGGUGGAUUGUUAAGUCAGUUGUGAAAGUUUGCGGCUCAACCGUAAAAUUGCAGUUGAAACUGGCAGUCUUGAGUACAGUAGAGGUGGGCGGAAUUCGUAGUGUAGCGGUGAAAUGCUUAGAUAUCACGAAGAACUCCGAUUGCGAAGGCAGUUCACUGGACUGCAACUGACACUGAGGCUCGAAAGUGUGGGUAUCAAACAGGAUUAGAUACCCUUGUAGUC